GUUGAGUCCAGAGGACCUGUAAAUAUGAGGGAUAGAUGAGGUGACAAAAACAAAGUCCCUGUCCUUGAGGAACUUCCAGUCCUGCAGCUGAGACAGAAAUGAAGGUGAAUGCUAAGCAAGCUAACAUUGAACAGGCAUUGUGACAGACAACAGCACUGGAACCUCUGUGGGGAAGGGCAGCCUUCUCCACCUGGAGGAGCAAAGGAGGUGGACUUUGAAUCUGGCUUAGAGAAGGAAUAGAAAGUUAUUAAUUCAGAAAUGAUAGAAUUGGAGAGCACCCCCCAGCAAGAGAGAACGUGGAAAGAGGAAACGUUCCCAGAACACUGAGGACAGACGAUCAAGUUCUCAUUCCCUCUGGUGUCUUGGGCACUAACUACAACCAGAAGAUGGCCGUCUUUGUUCACUAGGUUGGAGAUUACAGCUUGCUCUACAGUGAAUCCCCAGCAUCUGGUGAGUCAUUUGUCAUAUGAAGUCACUUGGCCACAUUCCUAUUGUGUUCACCUACUGUAUUAAUGAGUACAAGGUAAGUUCUCACGGACAGCUAUUAAAACGAUCUAAAGGGAAACUGGAAAAAGAAAAAAUGUGAAACAACACAAAAAAAAACUCUUUUACAAGAUCUGACUCAUGACAUUGUCUUAGUCAUUCUUGUGUGCAAGAAAAGCUAGACAAGAGACGGGAGGCGACUGGCAAAGUCUGAGAACUUGGCGGGCGACCUAGGCUCUAGUUGUGCAAGUAAUCAAGGAGCACCUUGCUCUUUCAGCCUAUAGCCUGUACAAGUCACCCAGCAUAAGCUCUGUGGUCCUGCACGGAGCUUGCUGAGCCAUGGUUUCCAACCCCAGCCAGGUGACUGCAGGCAUAACUUGAAAAAGAGAGCACCAGGAAAUGGCAUGGGUCCUCAUCCUGGGCUCCCAUCUUCGAUCACACUCAAUGGAGAGAAAUUUAAAUCAAUCCCACUGAAAUCAGGGACAGGGCAAGGCUGCCCACUCUCUCCAUAUCUCUUCAACAUAGUACUGGAAGUCCUAGCUAAAGCAGUAAGACAACUAAAGGAGAUCAAGGGGAUACGAAUCAGAAAGGAAGAGGUCAAAGUUUCACUAUUUGCAAAUGAUAUGAUAUGAGCGACCCCAAAAAUUCAACCAGAGAACUCCUUCAGCUGAUAAACACCUUCAGCAAAAUGGCUGGAAACAAAAUCAACUAAAAAAUAAUCAGAAGCCCUCCUGUAUAUCAAAGACAAAAGGGCCAAGAAAGAAAUCAGGGAAACAACACCCUUCACAAUAGCCACUAAUAACAUAAAGUACCUUGGGGUGACUCUAACCAAGCAAGUGAAAGACCUGUUUGAAAAAAAAAACUUUAAGUCUCUGAAGAAAGAAAUUGAAGAAGAUAUCAGAAGAUGGAAAGAUCUCCCGUGUUCAUGGAUCGGUAGGAUUAACAUUGUGGGGAUUAACGCAGAUCUCAAACCUCAUCAUGAAAGCUCCUCUGUGAAGUGAACAGUGGGUAACGCAGAAACUCACAGCUGGUCGAAGGGCAGAGAAAUCUACAAGCUGACACUGCAGAAUGGUGAUGAUACAGAACAUUUCCAGUCAGGAGGGGAUUCAGACCUCCACAUUGCUGAGGAAGUGAGUGAAGAACAAGGAAACUGAAACAAGCAGAGCCUGUUUUUUCAUGGUUUGUUACAGCAAGGGAGCCCACCACCAUCAUGUGCAUUCCUGCAGAGGCUCAAAAGCACAGCUGAUUCUGCAGCCCCAGUUACACAGACGCAGGGAUUCUCAACUCACACCAGCAAAUGGCACUCAAAAGAGCCUUCAAAGCGGCUCUCAAAACUUUCCUCUAGAACUUCCCAAGCCAGGCCUCCAUCGUCUGCAUUGCCUUCCACACUCUUAUCUUCCAAGGUUCUACAGAACAGCUCACGGGGCUCUCGACACUCAAAGGCUUUUCUAGCCCAAAGUUCCAAAGUUCUCCACAGCCCUCUCAAAAACAACAUGGUCAGGUCUGCACGGCAACACCCUACUAUCCUGCUACCAAUUUGUCCUAGUUAGGGUUUCCGUUGCUGUAAUGAAACACCGUGACCAAAAGAAAGUUGGGGAGAAAAGGGUUUAUUUGGCCUACACUUCCAGAUCGUAGUUGAUCACUGAAGGAAACCAGGACAGAAACUCAAGCAGGGCAGAUCUCCAGCAGGGCAGGGACCUGGAGGCAGGAGCUGAUGCAGAGGCCAUGAAGGGUGAGGGGUGCUGCUCACUGGCUUGCUCCCCAUGACUUGCUCAGCCUGCUUUCUUAUAGAACCCAGGACCACCAGCCCAGGGAUGACACACAGUGGGCUUGACUCUACCCUAUCAAUCAACAACUAAGAAAAUGCCCUACAGCUUACCUAUAACUCCAUCUUAUGGAGGAAUUUCUCAGUUGAGGUUUCCUCCUUUCCAGUGACUCUAGCGUGUAUCAAGUUGAUGUCAUAAAUUCAGCCAAUUUGCACAUUAUAAAAGUAAAUAUAGAAAAUAUAACAUUAUCUACAAAAAUUUGGUGGUGAAAAAAGGGAAGGAAAGAAAGGUAAGAGGAAAUAGAAUUUGGAGAGAGAUUAAAAUGCUAUUUACUCCCUGUGCAGGGACAAAAGAGGGCUCACUUUAUUUAGAAAGUAGAAAAUAGUAAAUAUUCCUAAACUUUACCAGAUGAAGGAAAUGUACAAGCAAAGCCUUUACAUACUUUUUUGUUUGUUUGUUUGUUAUAUUAUGUUUUGUUUUUAGAGACAGCAUUUCUGUGUAGAUCUGGCUGUCCUGGAACUCGCUCUGUAGACCAGGCUGGUCUUGAACUUGAAGAGAUCCUCCUUCCUCUGCCUUCUGAGUUCUGGGACUAUAGGCAUGUGCCACCACACCAAUUGCGGGAUUUUUAUUUUUUGAGAGCAAAGGAAUAAAACAGCUUUAUGGAGACACAAGGCCACUCACAGUUCCAUAAAAGAGUUUAUCAUCAAAAGCAGUGAGAGCAGAAACUCAAACAGGGCAGGAACCUGAAAACAGGAGCUGAUGCACACAGGCCAUGGAGGGGUGCUGCUAACUGGCUUGCUCCUUGUGAUUUGCUCAGCCAGUUUUCUUAUAAAUCCUAGGACCACCAGCCCAUCCCAUGGAUGGGACCGCUCACAAUGCCCUGGAUCCUCCCCUAUCACUCACUAAUUAAGAAAAUGACGUACAGGUUUGCCUAUAGCCUGAUCUUACAGAGGCAUUCUCUUAACUGAAGCUCCCUCCUCUGAGAUGACUUUAGUGUGUGUCCAGUUAACAUAAAACUAGCCAACACACUUGGCUAGCCUACUGCAGGAAUGAGAUGAGCUUAGUUGAGAAAUCCCAGCCAAGUCUAUCCUCCAUAAUCCACCUUACAACCAACUAUUCAGCUGACCAUAGUAUGAGAACAUCUACCCAGAUCUGUAGCAUGGCCUUAUCAACUCAUUCCUUCAUGAUAAACAAUAAAUGAUGGUUUAAGUUUCUAA